GAGCGAAAAAGUGGGUUCCUUGUCGGGAGUCACUAUAAACGAAAGGGCUUUGGAUUGGCUUUUGGCAAAGCAGUCGUGUUCUCUAUGCUGCAAGUUUCUGACGCAUUCUUGAUCUAUUGGUAACGCAUGAACCCCAUUGUAAGAAACAGGCUCCAGCGGAAGCUAGGCUACACUUUUCAAC
rfam:Serratia symbiotica str. Tucson genomic scaffold scaffold00209, whole genome shotgun sequence.